rnacentral:tRNA from 1 species
AGAGGUAUAGCUCAGUGGUAGAGCACUUGCCUGGCAUGUAUGUGGCCUUAAUGCAAUCCCUAAUACCACUG